CGCCCGGUUACAUUCCGAACCCGGAAGCUAAGCCUCACAGCGCCGAUGGUACUGCAGGGGGGACCCUGUGGGAGAGUAGGACACCGCCGAAC
rnacentral:rRNA from 1 species